rnacentral:rRNA from 1 species
AGAGUUUGAUCCUGGCUCAGAGUGAACGUUGGCGGCGUGCCUAACACAUGCAAGUCGAACGCGUUUCGGGGGCAACCCCGAGAUGAGUGGCGAACGGGUGAGUAACACGUGGGUAAUCUCCCCCCGAGUGAGGAAUAAGCCCCCGAAAGGGGGUCUAAUACCGCAUGACACCCAGGGUGCAUAAGUGUCCUGGGUCAAAGCCGUAAGGCGCUUGAGGAUGAGCCCGCGUCCUAUUAGCUAGUUGGUAGGGUAACGGCCUACCAAGGUUAUGAUGGGUAGCCGGCCUGAGAGGGUGAUCGGCCACACUGGGACUGAGACACGGCCCAGACUCCUACGGGAGGCAGCAGUGAGGAAUUUUGCGCAAUGGGGGAAACCCUGACGCAGCGACGCCGCGUGGAGGAUGACGGCCUUCGGGUUGUAAACUCCUGUCAGAGGUGAAGAAUCCCCGCAAGGGGUUGACGGUAACCUCAAAGGAAGCCCCGGCUAACUACGUGCCAGCAGCCGCGGUAAUACGUAGGGGGCAAACGUUACUCGGAAUUACUGGGCGUAAGGGGUGUGUAGGCGGCUGAGUAAGUCAAAGAUGAAAUCCCAUGGCUCAACUGUGGAAUUGUCUUUGAAACUGCUCGGCUUGAGGAUAGUCGAGGAGAAUGGAAUUCCCGGUGGAGCGGUGAAAUGCGUAGAUAUCGGGAGGAACACCCGAGGCGUGAGCGAUUCUCUAUCCUAUUCCUGACGCUGAAACACGAAAGCUAGGGGAGCGAACGGGAUUAGAUACCCCGGUAGUCCUAGCUAUAAACGAUGGA